UCAUAAAAUUUAUCCGCUUAGACUAUUAAAAAUUAUUACCAACGUCGGUGCAUCUACGAUCUUGAAUCACUCUUCUUACUCCUUUUCCGAAAAGAAAUGAACCUUUUUCACCCUCUAAAGUCUCAUCUUUUACAAACUCAAAAAAGUGACGAUACGUCAACAAAUUUCUUCAUCUGAUUUUCCAGAAAAAUUUAAAAUUGGCUGAAUUAUUACAUGAACACUCUUUAGGUUAAGCUAAAGAGCUUUAUCUAGCUUACCCAUUAUAGUUAAAACCCAAAUAAUUUUGAACUCCUUUUUUAAAAAUUUAUUUUUCUAAAACACAAAACUUUUUUUACCCUCAUUAUACUAGUAAACUAAACCUGUAAAUCUAUUAAUCUCCCCCUCUUUCUUCUAUUGAAAUUAAAAAGCUUGAAUUUUUAAAGCCCGUUUCCUAAAGACUCCAUCUCAAUAGAGACAACUCCUGCCCAAUGUACCACAUAAAUGGCCGCUUUAGUGCUAAGGUAGCAUAAUAACUUGCUUCUUAAUUGGAAUGCCGUAUGAACGGAGACUCUUUAAACCUCCUCUUUAAYCUAAGCUUUAACCUUAUUGAAGAUGAAAUUUACUUCAAAUUUUUAUAGACGAGAAGACCCUAAAACUUUCUUCAAAAAAUUCUAUUAUUUUAAAAUUUAUUGGGGAAAUAAACUCUAUCACUACAUUAAAAAUAUAAGAACCUAAAAGACCAACAAAUUCAAGUACCUUAGGGAUAACAGCGCUACUCUAUUUAAAGCCCUUAUUUAAAACAGAACCUGCGACCUCGAUGUUGAAUUAAGGAACCAUAAGUGCAGAYGCCUUUAUUUACCGGUCUGUUCGACCUUAUCCCCUUACAUGAUUUGAGUUUAAAUCGACGCAAGUCAGAUUGGAUUCUAUCUUAAAACUAUUUUAUUAUUUUUAGUACGAAAGGAACAAUUUAAAAUUUUUAUAUUUAUUACUUUUAAAUAGGAUUAUUAACUU
rnacentral:rRNA from 1 species